AAAAAGGAAACAUUUGGACACAGACACAGACAUACACAGUAGAAAGAUUAUGUGAAGACGCCUCUGGGUAGAAGAAGACCACACGAAGAUGGAAGCAGAGAUUCAAGUUAUGUUACCACAAGCCAAGGAAUGCCUGAGACCACUGGAAGCUAGGAAGAGACAAGAAGAGAUAUUUCCCUUGAUGCCUGAGAGGGAGCAUGGCCCUGCUGACACCUGAAUCUGGGACUUCCAGCCACCAGAACAGUGGGACAAUAAAUCUCUGUGGUUGUAAGCCAUCCAGUUUGUGGUACUUCAUUACAGAAGCCCUAGGAAACUAACGGAGAGCCCUUGCUGGUAUCUGCAGCUGUGACUGCUGGAAAAUGUCAGAGGGAGCCAGAACUAAACUAAGGUCUCUGCUUCAGUAAACUUAUCCAACUCAAGCCUCCAACUGCCAUUUAUAUCAUAUGACUUCCAAAGGUAUUUAUCUUUACUCAUGACCUCUCCCUGAGCUCCAGAAUCAAGUCUCCAACUGAUUCGUGAAUAGCACCUCUUGAAUAUCUAAUGGCAUCCCAAAAUUAGCAUGACCAAAUCAAGACUUUGAAUUCAAUACCCAGCCAAACUUCCCCUACUCUACUCUAUAGAAGAAAAUGACAUCACCAUCUACUAAGUUAUUCAACACCCAGGAGACUUCUUCCUUCUCCUCUACUACCAUAUGCAAUCUAUCUGUGUGUCCUGUGAGUUCUACCUCCAAAAUAUGUGCUAGGUCAGUUCCCUGAGAUACUCACUCUGAGAGGGAGAUUUAUAAUAAAAGAAUUUAGCAAAAAAUGCCACUGGGGGGCCAGCCCCAUGGCCUAGUGGUUAAGUUCAGUGCACUCUGCUUUGGUGGCCAGGGUUCAGUACCCAGGCAUGGACCUGCACCAGUUGGUAGCAGCCAUGAUGUGGUGGUGUCCCAUAUACAAAAUAGAGGAAGAUUGGCACAGAUAUUAUCUCAGGAUGUCUGAUGGGGUGAAGAAAAUGGGCCUAUGAAAGGAGCAGAAAGCAAGGACCUUCCUCAGUUGCCCCUUCCAUCCUUGGCCAUUUGUGUUGAGAGACGGACAGUAAGUCUCCUUAGGAAUUUUCAGCCAAUCCAAACUCUGGGACAGUUGUGAAGGAAGUUGUCAUGGUGGGCUUGCUGCAGCUGGACCCCAUUGUGUCUGCUCCAGAACUUCACAGGAUCUUCAUCUGAGCCUAGAAGGCUUGGUGUAAAGCUCUGGCAGCCUCAGCUUAGCUUCACCACUGAUGGCCACCAUAUCGAGGCAAAGAACUAUUUUUUCACAUCUUUCUCAAAUCUUGUUGGGUGGCUCAUAGAAUGAAG
rnacentral:lncRNA from 1 species